UUGUGAUGACUUUCAAUCUGUCACAAGUAACAUUACUGUGUUAAGUCUUUCUUCCACUCUUCUAUCAGUUCAGUUCUAUGGCGUAAGCUUGAUGAAUGAAUGAAUGAAUGAUGGCUGACAUUACAAGCAAACCAAAUAACUCUACUCUCCCUUCUUUAUUAUCUCUGUCUCUCUUUCUUUCUCUAUAUGUAAUUUGCAUCUCCGUAAAAAAUCUACCCCACACUUCCCUUCUGUGCUUGCUGCUGCACAGUUGCACUUCUGCUGCUACUACUGUUCUUACAGCUCUCACCAUUACCUAUCACUGAUCGAUCCUCGCGCUACACCUUCUUCUUUUUCUUCUUGUUUUUCUCCAUCUUCUUCUUCUUCCUCCUACCUAAGCGUACGUCUGGGCAGUAGGCAGUGGGUGAACUUAGCUAGGUAAUUGGGUUUUAGGUCUUUCUUUGUUUCUUUGUUUUGCAGUCUUAAAUAUCUGCACAGUGUUGUUUUGAUUAGAGGUGUUUUUUAGCUGUCGUUUGUAUGAGAAGAAUGGAAUUAGUAGUGUUCAACACUUUUUGAUUUGCUGGUUGUUCGAUCUUCUUCUUCUUCUUCUUCUUCUUCCCCGAGCUUAGCUUACCAGAAACAGAAGAGUGGGUUUUGUUGUCUGCAAGUUGCUUGCUUAGAAGAAGAAGAAGAGGAGGUGGUAGCUAGUGGGUUGUGAGUGGGUAGAGGAGGAGGUUUUCAUUUGCAGUAAAAUUCCGGCGAUAGAUAGUUUUGGGUCCUUCGAUCUUGUUGGGGUUGUCGGAAUUGAAGUUAAAUAUUAAAAAGAGAAAGAAAGAAGACAAUUGGGGUGUUCUCGGGGUUCGAUCGAUCUCUACUUCCCUUUUUGUAAUUAAGAUUUC
rnacentral:lncRNA from 1 species